GCGCAGGCCGAAGUGGAUGUGGUGGAAGAGGCCAACUGCGUGAAAAUGCUCAACCUGUGGUGUUGUUGCUUCUUCAAGCGAAAACGGAAGAAGAACACUCCACGGCAGAAAUGAUCUCCUGCUACCCUGUCCGGUGUCGCUGAGCGAGUUUGGUUUUAAGGAAACUAAUGAAGGGACAUUUCUGGGAGGAGUUGGGAGAGAGACUUGUUAUAUCAAGAGAAUGGGAUUCUUACUGACCUGGACCUACUGAAUGGAACUACUAUACACAUGAAGACCUUGGCCACAAAGUCCUUUCUUUUCUUUCCUUCUCGGUGGCUGAAUGGAUGAAUGACUAAAUUUGACUUUUGACCUUUCCUCUGGAUACUGGAGGACGC
rnacentral:lncRNA from 1 species